CGGAGCCUCACCCAGAGCCUUCUGGGGUGGUGGAUAGCUGCUAAGAAGACCGCAGCAGCCUUCAUAAGUUGUAUCUUCCCCUUUACUGAAGAAUCACCAGUCACCUACAGUUGCACAGCAAGCAUGGGAAAAUAACUGAAAUUUUGAUGUGCCAUUUCUCACUUCUUUAAGAACCCUCCUUCAAAUUCCUGAAUAAAGCUGCU
rnacentral:lncRNA from 1 species